AUUGAACGCUGGCGGCAGGCCUAACACAUGCAAGUCGAGCGGUAGCACAGGAGAGCUUGCUCUCUGGGUGACGAGCGGCGGACGGGUGAGUAAUGUCUGGGAAACUGCCUGAUGGAGGGGGAUAACUACUGGAAACGGUAGCUAAUACCGCAUAACGUCUUCGGACCAAAGUGGGGGACCUUCGGGCCUCACGCCAUCAGAUGUGCCCAGAUGGGAUUAGCUAGUAGGUGGGGUAAUGGCUCACCUAGGCGACGAUCCCUAGCUGGUCUGAGAGGAUGACCAGCCACACUGGGACUGAGACACGGUCCAGACUCCUACGGGAGGCAGCAGUGGGGAAUAUUUCUCAAUGGGCGCAAGCCUGAUGCAGCCAUGCCGCGUGUGUGAAGAAGGCCUUCGGGUUGUAAAGCACUUUCAGCGAGGAGGAAAGGUGGUGUGUUAAUAUUACAUUGCUUUGACCUUCCUCCCACAAGAAGACCGUCUACUUCCCUUGCCGGCGGCGGGGGUUUACGCCCCGGUUGUUUUUUCUUUCAGAAUUACUCACCUCGUUGCGUGCGUAGAUGGUUAAGAGGGGAGGGGCGCAAAUCCCCCAUCACUCCAUGUAAUCGCGAAUGUAUCUGAUAUUGCUACUA
rnacentral:rRNA from 1 species